rnacentral:rRNA from 1 species
GAUCAUGGCUCAGAGCGAACGCUGGCGGCAGGCUUAACACAUGCAAGUCGAGCGGGCCCUUCGGGGUCAGCGGCGGACGGGUUAGUAACGCGUGGGAACGUGCCUUCUGGUUCGGAAUAACCCUGGGAAACUAGGGCUAAUACCGGAUACGCCCUUUUGGGGAAAGGUUUACUGCCGGAAGAUCGGCCCGCGUCUGAUUAGCUCGUUGGUGGGGUAACGGCCUACCAAGGCGACGAUCAGUAGCUGGUCUGAGAGGAUGAUCAG